CAUAAAUUGUUUGUGUCAGAGUCAGAGAACCGUGUCUCUAACAGUCAGAGGUUUUUGUACGACGGCUCCAUCAGUUUGUAUCACUGUGGUACACGUUUGGUGGAGGAACCAGACUGGAUGUUAACUUGGGUGAACGCCGUCCCACCCUGACAGUGCUGCCCCCCUCCAGUGAGGAGCUGCAGCAGGGGAAGGCCACCCUCAUGUGUCUGGC